AAGACUAUAUUUUCAGGGAUCAUUUCUAGACUUUCUGACUUGAGGAAUGUAUUUCUAAAGUGUUUGGUCUCGCUGACCACGAUGAUGAGUUGUGAUAUUCUUUUCUGAGCGUGAAGCUGACAGAGAGUAAUGAUUCACUUCAUAUGCUCUCUGUCAUUGAUGAUCGUUGUUUGCUUCUUUUGAGGAAGGAGUAUUGAGGAAGGGAAAAUAAUCAGAGUGGU